rnacentral:rRNA from 1 species
UGGGGAAUUUUGGACAAUGGGGGAAACCCUGAUCCAGCCAUCCCGCGUGCGCGAUGAAGGCCUUCGGGUUGUAAAGCACUUUUGGCAGGAAAGAAAAGUCACGGGUUAAUACCCCGUGAAACUGACGGUACCUGCAGAAUAAGCACCGGCUAACUACGUGCCAGCAGCCGCGGUAAUACGUAGGGUGCAAGCGUUAAUCGGAAUUACUGGGCGUAAAGCGUGCGCAGGCGGUUCGGAAAGAAAGAUGUGAAAUCCCAGAGCUCAACGUUGGAACUGCAUUUUUGACUACCGGGCUAGAGUGUGUCAGAGGGAGGUGGAAUUCCGCGUGUAGCAGUGAAAUGCGUAGAUAUGCGGAGGAACACCGAUGGCGAAGGCAGCCUCCUGGGAUAUCACUGACGCUCAUGCACGAAAGCGUGGGGAGCAAACAGG